GCCCAGGUGGCGAAACUGGUAGACGCAGCGGACUUAAAAUCCGCCGGCCUUGACCGGCCGUGCCGGUUCGAUUCCGGCCCUGGGCACCA
rnacentral:tRNA from 1 species